AUUGAACGCUGGCGGAAUGCUUUACACAUGCAAGUCGAACGGUAGAGGGGGCAACCCCUUGAGAGUGGCGAACGGGUGAGUAAUGUAUCGGAACGUGCCCAGUCGUGGGGGAUAACGUAGUGAAAAUUACGCUAAUACCGCAUACGAUCUAUGGAUGAAAGCGGGGGAUCGCAAGACCUCGCGCGAUUGGAGCGGCCGAUAUCAGAUUAGGUAGUUGGUGGGGUAAAGGCUCACCAAGCCAACGAUCUGUAGCUGGUCUGAGAGGACGACCAGCCACACUGGAACUGAGACACGGUCCAGACUCCUACGGGAGGCAGCAGUGGGGAAUUUUGGACAAUGGACGCAAGUCUGAUCCAGCCAUUCCGCGUGCAGGACGAAGGCCUUCGGGUUGUAAACUGCUUUUGUACGGAACGAAAAAGCUCUUAUUAAUACUAGGAGUCCAUGACGGUACCGUAAGAAUAAGCACCGGCUAACUACGUGCCAGCAGCCGCGGUAAUACGUAGGGUGCAAGCGUUAAUCGGAAUUACUGGGCGUAAAGCGUGCGCAGGCGGUUAUAUAAGACAGAUGUGAAAUACCCCGAGCUUAACUUGGGAACUGCUAUUUGUGACUGUAUAGCUAGAGUACGGCAAGAGGGGGAUGGAAAUUCCGCGUGUAGCCAAGUGAAAUGCGUAGAUAUGCGGGAAGGGAAACACCGGAUGGCGGAAAG
rnacentral:rRNA from 1 species